UAGAGAUCCAUGAUCUUCAUGAAGCUCCAGCCUCUGAAGUCCUCCCUGUUGUAGAGGAACAGCAGGAGCAGCACGUCCUUCAACCUCAGGAUGUUCACGCUUCAAUUGGUUCCUCUAAAGAUGACAAAGUGGAAGAGCUGGACAAGGAUAAAACUUCUCUACAGCAAAUUGUAGAGAUUCAAGAUCUUGGAGAAGCUCCAGCUUCUGAAGUCCUCCCUGCUGUAGAGGGACAGCUGAAGUUAACUCCACUGGAGAUGAUGAAGCGGAGGAGCCAGACAACAGUAACAGUAAUACAUAUAUGAGAAUAAGCCACAUUUUCUGGCGAUAUGAAUUCGGCCCCAAGCUGCAGGGUGAAGGAGGCUAUGGUUAUGUGCAUGCAGGAAGGCCUCAAGGUGGCUGUGAAAAUUGCUGACAAGACACCAGAUAUGCCAUAUAUUGUAGGUUCCUGGUCAUCCCAAACACCUCCCCACAGAAAUGGGCAAUAAGGGCCCCAGCCUUCUGCAGAUAAUUAAACUCCUGGACUGUUAGGACAACCCGGACUACUACAUCAUGGUCUCGGGGCAGCCCAUGCUCCGAUAAAGGCUCGAUGAGAAGAUGGCAUGACAUGUUAUGUGGCAGGUCAUUCAUGCCACUAACAUUUGCUGUGAGCGUGGAGUCUUCCAUCAUGAUAUAAAACUGGAGAACCUCCUGGUGAACACGGACCCAUUGGAGGUCAAGUUGAUCGACUUCGGAUGCGGCUUGCUCAUGAAGGACUCACACAUCUGCUGUAGAAAGGCAUUAAAUAUCAAAAUCUCUUCUCUUUAGGCACAGAAAUGUUCUGCCCACUGGAGCUCGAUGUCACUGGCAGGGACCAUGCGAAGCCGGCGACAGUUUGUUCAUUAGAGAUCCUUCUGUUCAUGAUGGUAUUAUCCAGACGACAAAGACCUGCACAGGAUCAGUAAGAAGGACUGGUCCGAACCUGACCUGCCACAAGAAUGCAGCCAGAUGAUCUGUGAUUGUCUGCAGCCUGAUCCGCAGCGGAGGCUUGUCCUGGAGGAGAUGCAGCUCCAUGACUGGUUUAUGGUACUAAAAUUAAGAGCCCAAGGUCGUGGAGUAAGACAUGGAGAGCAAGAAAAAAAAACUCCCUGUCAUAGCCACUGUUUUCUUUUGUAUAUAUUUUGUCUUCGGUCAGCUUUGUGUCUUGCAGGCUGACGUGAGCGGCCUUUCCAUCUCUCCGCUUUGGCCUUGGCCUCUUGUUUC